UACGAAGGGGGCUAGCGUUGCUCGGAAUCACUGGGCGUAAAGCGCACGUAGGCGGAUUGUUAAGUCAGGGGUGAAAUCCUGGAGCUCAACUCCAGAACUGCCUUUGAUACUGGCGAUCUCGAGUCCGGGAGAGGUGAGUGGAACUGCGAGUGUAGAGGUGAAAUUCGUAGAUAUUCGCAAGAACACCAGUGGCGAAGGCGGCUCACUGGCCCGGUACUGACGCUGAGGUGCGAAAGCCAGGGGAGCGAACAGG
rnacentral:rRNA from 1 species